AACGGACUUCGUGAGGUUUAGUAGGUUGUAGAAGGACAUUGUUAUCCAUUACUGAGGCUGACAACCAGUUAUGCUGUGUUUUGGCAUAUUGAAAUCGACAAGAGGAGACGGACAUUUGUGACUGUAAAAGAGAGAGGAUCGGGGAAGCUCCUCUGGACCACACAGAGAGCGAUCUUCCAUCCUGCUGGUGUGAUGUAGACUGUCGCUGCUGGUUUCUGUUCUGCUGAUCUUCCUGCUGUGGUUUACCCGGUGCUCUGCCUGCUGCCAUCGCCAAGUUCCCCUUUAUAUCCCCUUGACUGGGAUUCUGACUCCCCUCAUCCGCUCCAUCUACAACUUCCUGUAAGGGAGAUCACAUUCUCCGAAACAGUGCUGAUCCAGUUCAACUUUUCCCGGGGAGGCUGCGGGGUCAUCCAUUGUUUUGAAAGGUGUCACUUGACUGUCAGCUCUCCAUCGCAGCCCUGCAUGGCAGUCAAGAAAAGAACCUCCUGAACCAUUCCUGCUUAACUCGCCUCCACUGGACCUUGCACAUUUUUUUCCAUCUCAACAUCAAACAUAUUGAACGAUACUCUAAAAUUUAUAUAUAAAUUGCCCAGCCAUACGUCAGCCCAAACUUACUUUUCCUGACACAUUUAACAUUAACUUGUACAUAAUACAUCCUCAUACACUGGAGUAUCUCAUGAGUACAGAUGCCCAUCAAUACGCUGUUGCAGGAGAGGUGAAUGACACCAAGAUAUGGCAGUUGAAGAAAAACAAAUGUACAGUAUGUGAUAACGGGACAUGCAAGUCAUCAAUUAUCAACUAUUUGUUCCGCGUCUCCUCUAGCUGUUGUGGUUGAUAUGAUGUAGGUCCCCUAGCUUUGACCAGACACAAAAAUGGUGACAGCAAAGCACUGUGAUGUCACGUGGUCCUUUUAAAUAUAAUUAUAAAUAUAAAAAUAUAAAUAUAUACCAGAAACUAUGCACAAAGGACUACUUGCACCCUAGUGCUGCUGAAUUUUUGAUGUUAUUUAAUAAAUGUCAUGUUUUAUAUCUGU